AGAGUUUGAUCCUGGCUCAGGAUGAACGCUAGCUACAGGCUUAACACAUGCAAGUCGAGGGGCAGCAUGGUCGUUGCUUGCAAUGACCGAUGGCGACCGGCGCACGGGUGAGUAACGCGUAUCCAACCUUCCCCCUACCCGGGUAUAGCCCGCCGAAAGGCGGAUUAAUCCCCGAUACGUCCCCUGACGGCAUCAGGCGGGGACGAAAGGUAUUCCGGUAAGGGAUGGGGAUGCGUCCGAUUAGCUUGUUGGCGGGGUAACGGCCCACCAAGGCAACGAUCGGUAGGGGUUCUGAGAGGAAGGUCCCCCACAUUGGAACUGAGACACGGUCCAAACUCCUACGGGAGGCAGCAGUGAGGAAUAUUGGUCAAUGGGCGGAAGCCUGAACCAGCCAAGUAGCGUGCAGGAUGACGGCCCUACGGGUUGUAAACUGCUUUUUUGCGGGAAUAAAGCGGCUCACGCGUGAGCCUUUGCAUGUACCGCACGAAUAAGGACCGGCUAAUUCCGUGCCAGCAGCCGCGGUAAUACGGAAGGUCCGGGCGUUAUCCGGAUUUAUUGGGUUUAAAGGGAGCGUAGGCCGCCUUUUAAGCGUGCUGUGAAAUACCGUUGCCCAACAACGGGGCUGCAGCGCGAACUGGAGGGCUUGAGUUCACGGGAAGCCGGCGGAAUUCGUCGUGUAGCGGUGAAAUGCUUAGAUAUGACGAAGAACUCCGAUUGCGAAGGCAGCCGGCUGUAGUGUUACUGACGCUGAAGCUCGAAAGUGCGGGUAUCGAACAGGAUUAGAUACCCUGGUAGUCCGCACGGUA
rnacentral:rRNA from 1 species